UAUCUAAUUAUUAUAGUAAAAUAAAAAACACAUGAUAACAUUCCGAACUCAAAUGUGAAAAUAUUUUACGCUUAUGGUAGCAUUUUUUAUGUGAGAGUAAGAAAUAAUUAGAUAA
rnacentral:rRNA from 1 species